rnacentral:rRNA from 1 species
UACGGAGGGGGCGAGCGUUGUCCGAAGUUACUGGGCGUAAAGCGCGCGUAGGCGGCCCGGUAAGUCCGCUGUGAAAGUCAAAGGCUCAACCUUUGAAUGUCAGCGGAUACUGCCGGGCUAGAGUCCGGAAGAGGCGAGUGGAAUUCCUGGUGUAGCGGUGGAAUGCGCAGAUAUCAGGAGGAACACCAACGGCGAAGGCAGCUCGCUGGCCCGAUACUGACGCUGAGGCACGAAAGCGUGGGGAGCAAACAGG